rnacentral:misc_RNA from 1 species
UGUAGGAGCGAGCAUGCUCGCGAUGGUGGCUGCACAUUCAACAUCUAUGUGUCAGACAGUUUGCUAUCGCGAGCAUGCUCGCUCCUACA